UACGUAGGGUGCGAGCGUUGUCCGGAAUUACUGGGCGUAAAGAGCUCGUAGGUGGUUUGUCGCGUUGUCCGUGAAAACUCACAGCUUAACUGUGGGCGUGCGGGCGAUACGGGCAGACUGGAGUACUGCAGGGGAGACUGGAAUUCCUGGUGUAGCGGUGGAAUGCGCAGAUAUCAGGAGGAACACCGGUGGCGAAGGCGGGGUCUCUGGGCAGUAACUGACGCUGAGGAGCGAAAAGCGUGGGGGAGCGAACAGG
rnacentral:rRNA from 1 species